CCAGCAGCCGCGGUAAUUCCAGCUCCAAUAGCGUAUAUUAAAGUUGUUGCAGUUAAAAAGCUCGUAGUUGGAUUUCUGGCGUGAGGUGCUUGACCCGCCGCGGUUUACGCGUGUGAGUGUCGGUGUGCCUCGGCCAUCCUUCUAGAAAUUGGCUCUGCUCUUCAUUGAGUCGGGGUCAGGAUCUAGAUCUUUUACUUUGAAAAAAUUAGAGUGUUUAAAGCAAGCUUUGCGUGAAUACAUUAGCAUGGAAUAAUAAUUUAGGACUUCGGUUCUAUUUUGUUGGUUUCUAGGACUGAAGUAAUGAUUGAUAGGGAUAGUUGGGGGUGCUAGUAUUCAGCGGCCAG
rnacentral:rRNA from 1 species